rnacentral:rRNA from 1 species
AAGUCGUAACAAGGUUUCCGUAGGUGAACCUGCGGAAGGAUCAUUACCUAGAGUUUGCGGGCUUUGCCUGCUAUCUCUUACCCAUGUCUUUUGAGUACUUACGUUUCCUCGGUGGGUUCGCCCGCCGAUUGGACAAUUUAAACCCUUUGCAGUUGCAAUCAGCAUCUGAAAAAAAUUAACAAUUACAACUUUCAACAACGGAUCUCUUGGUUCUGGCAUCGAUGAAGAACGCAGCGAAAUGCGAUAAGUAGUGUGAAUUGCAGAAUUCAGUGAAUCAUCGAAUCUUUGAACGCACAUUGCGCCCCUUGGUAUUCCAUGGGGCAUGCCUGUUCGAGCGUCAUUUGUACCUUCAAGCUUUGCUUGGUGUUGGGUGUUUGUCUCGCCUUUGCGUGUAGACUCGCCUCAAAACAAUUGGCAGCCGGCGUAUUGAUUUCGGAGCGCAGUACAUCUCGCGCUUUGCACUCAUAACGACGACGUCCAAAAGUACAUUUUUACACUCUUGACCUCGGAUCAGGUAGGGAUACCCGCUGAACUUAA